AUGAACGCUGGCGGCGUGCCUAAUACAUGCAAGUCGAGCGAACAGAUAAGGAGCUUGCUCCUUUGACGUUAGCGGCGGACGGGUGAGUAACACGUGGAUAACCUACCUAUAAGACUGGGAUAACUUCGGGAACCGGAGCUAAUACCGGAUAACAUAUUGAACCGCAUGGUUCAAUAGUGAAAGGCGGCUUUGCUGUCACUUAUAGAUGGAUCCGCGCCGUAUUAGCUAGUUGGUAAGGUAACGGCUUACCAAGGCAACGAUACGUAGCCGACCUGAGAGGGUGAUCGGCCACACUGGAACUGAGACACGGUCCAGACUCCUACGGGAGGCAGCAGUAGGGAAUCUUCCGCAAUGGGCGAAAGCCUGACGGAGCAACGCCGCGUGAGUGAUGAAGGUCUUCGGAUCGUAAAACUCUGUUAUCAGGGAAGAACAAAUGUGUAAGUAACUGUGCACAUCUUGACGGUACCUGAUCAGAAAGCCACGGCUAACUACGUG
rnacentral:rRNA from 1 species